GUUGACGUCACAUCUACGACAUGAAUGGAAGAAUAUAAUCUUUGUUAUAACGGUAAUAAUAAACUUGAUCAGUUUAUGACUAAUUUUUUGCUACUCUAUUUCUCUGUCUACGUACGCCAGUUGCUCAUACUUACUAUAUCUUUAGUUAAAGUAUGUGGCAUAACAAUUGAGUAAAUAAAAAUAAAAAAAAUAAACACUUUUUAAAUAUGGUACUUGAUUUAUAAACACACAUGUUUAAGUAUAUGUACAUAUACAAACCAACGAAAUGUAAUAAUACAUCCAAGUGAUAAGAAUGCAAAAACUUAUUCAACAGCAGAUACACCGUUUCUUCUGUUUAUAACAGCAUAACGUAACAUAUAGAAUUGGAGACAAUAUAAGGUCUUGUUGAGUUGUUAUACCUUUCGAGGUAAUAACGGUUGAUUGGAAGAGCUAGAGUUCUGCGGUAAACCCAUAUUCCUAAAUCAAGCUUUAACCAUCGAAAAAGUAUGAGUCGCAGAAGUGAUUUUUAAAUCAAAUUAGGCUGUAAUUAAAUAAUAUUAUACAAAUACCAUGAAGGCUAUCCAUUUUGAAAAAACAUAUUCAAUGUCUAGAUUUUACGAUUUUCCUUCCUCAAAUCAAGCGUAGGAAAUUUACAUUCCGUAACUUGACGGUUCCAUAAUGAUGCAAGAUUCCAUAUACGUAAUACUACGUUUCCAUCGGUAACUUUAAAAACUUACUACAUUUUUAUUUCCUUAGCAUUUAAAUAGUCGUUGUCAACCGCACUUCCUUUUCGACUCGUUUCUUUAACGUAGCAUGAAGAAUCCUCACAUUCGACAUGACUGAUAAAAGCUGAUGAUACUGUUUUUGCUCCUUAAAAUCUAUCCGUAGAAAAAUAAUGCGCUUUGAGUAAGAAAACUAUACAGAAGCUGCAUCUAAAAAACCCGAAUAUCUUAAUUGACUAUUGUAAAAGUGUUAGUUUACAGAUUUUUGGUAACGAGAUAAGCAACGGAGCAUGCAUAUGAUUACCUAAGUAUAACUUGUACACAAUGAUUUGGUGGUUUGUAAAAAUGAAUCCUUAAAGAAUGCUACAAAGAAGUAACUCAAAAUUCCAACCAUACUAUGCUAAUAGAAACGUGAGGCAGAAAUAGAAAUAAUGGGAUUAUUGGGAUAGUUGAAAAAAUGCUGGAGUUAAACUGAGUCUCCACAAGUAUUUACAUAAACAUUCCUUUCGAAGUAUUUCAUUCAUCUUGCGUGUCUGCACACACUACUAUCAUACAGUUUCUUCUCCCAAAC